rnacentral:tRNA from 1 species
GGCUCCGUCGUCUAGCGGUUUAGGACGCCGCCCUCUCAAGGCGGAGGUCGCCGGGUCGAAUCCGGUCGGAGCUACCA